AUUGAACGCUGGCGGCAUGCUUUACACAUGCAAGUCGAACGGUAACAGGCCGCAAGGUGCUGACGAGUGGCGAACGGGUGAGUAAUGCAUCGGAACGUGCCCAGUCGUGGGGGAUAACGCAGCGAAAGCUGUGCUAAUACCGCAUACGAUCUGUGGAUGAAAGCGGGGGACCGAAAGGCCUCGCGCGAUUGGAGCGGCCGAUGUCAGAUUAGGUAGUUGGUGGGGUAAAGGCUCACCAAGCCAACGAUCUGGAGCUGGUCUGAGAGGACGACCAGCCACACUGGGACUGAGACACGGCCCAGACUCCUACGGGAGGCAGCAGGGGGGAAUUUUGGACAAUGGGCGCAAGCCUGAUCCAGCAAUGCCGCGUGCAGGAAGAAGGCCUUCGGGUUGUAAACUGCUUUUGUACGGAGCGAAAAGGCUCUCUCUAAUACAGGGGGCUCAUGACGGUACCGUAAGAAUAAGCACCGGCUAACUACGUGCCAGCCGCCGCUGUAAAAC
rnacentral:rRNA from 1 species